CCUUAGUUUGCGCACAAAGUAAACAAGUCGAAAAAUUAUUCGGAAACGGGUCGAUUAAAGGCGUAGCUACCUACAGCAGCACUUCUAGAGUCUUUUAAAGUCCAAGGUCAGAUUUUUGCGCAAAAAGCUGAUAUCCGGACAGUUAUUAUCCGGAGAAACUUUUGUCAUUCAAGUGUCCAAGUGCUGACCGAAAGAUCAUGAUGUUCCGGAACCAUUCAAAGAUACUGAUGGCGCUGAUCUGUAAAAACAUCCCCGUGCUGGGAAUCAUCGGAUGCAACAACAAUUCCAGCUUGACACUUUCCGUGAUGGUGUUUUAAUUUUCAGUUUUGAAAAUAAAUGUGAAUUAAAAAUAA